rnacentral:rRNA from 1 species
UAGGGAAUCUUCGGCAAUGGGGGCAACCCUGACCGAGCAACGCCGCGUGAGUGAAGAAGGUUUUCGGAUCGUAAAGCUCUGUUGUAAGUCAAGAACGAGUGUGAGAGUGGAAAGUUCACACUGUGACGGUAGCUUACCAGAAAGGGACGGCUAACUACGUGCCACCAGCCGCGGUAAUACGUAGGNCCCGAGNUUUGNCCGNAUAANNGANCGAGAGGGAGGAGGGUNUAAAAAAGGUCUGAAGUUAAAGGCUGUGGCUCAACCAUAGUUCGCUUUGGAAACUGUCAAACUUGAGUGCAGAAAGGGGAGAGUGGAAUUCCAUGUGUAGCGGUGAAAUGCGUAGAUAUAUGGAGGAACACCGGUGGCGAAAGCGGCUCUCUGGUCUGUAACUGACGCUGAGGCUCGAAAGCGUGGGGAGCGAACAGGAUUAGAUACCCUGGUAGUCCACGCCGUAAACGAUGAGUGCUAGGUGUUGGAUCCUUUCCGGGAUUCAGUGCCGCAGCUAACGCAUUAAGCACUCCGCCUGNNAGUACGACCGCAAGGUUG